rnacentral:snoRNA from 1 species
CACCCUUGUCAAUGGGCAAAGAAAUAUCUUGUUUGUGGUGUUGUUCUUAUAUCAGUCAGGGGCAGUCCUUUUUUCAUCUUAACUUGAUGCCUGGCUUGGUGGGCAAAGCUGACUUCUGCCUGGGACUCAUAA